GAUACCAUUGCCUAUUUGCAGCUUAAACUCCUGGAGCUUUGCUCAUGCUUUCUCUUUCCCACUUUCUCAUGGAACAGAUGUAUACAUCAUGAAAUGAAAACAACAGCACAAAUUGCUGUCUCGUAAGAGAAACAGUCAUACAUAGUAGGUUAGGCCUCAUGUCCAUUAACUUACUAAUGAAUUUUAUGAAAAUUGGCUAUCUCAUUGAAAUUACAUAGGUAUUGGAAACCCUUACUCCAGCUGCAUCAUCUCAUCAGUGAAAGCUGGAUUUUCCAUUUGUUCUUGAGAUUCAUAUUAAGGCAGCAAAUUGCUCAUCCCAUACUAUCUAUGUAAUCCUGUAAAAGGGAAGGGCGUUUAGAUGUGGAAAAACCUUACUCCUGCCGCUGCACCUCAAACAGAUUGCGAUCACACAAGACUUAGUUCAUCAUUAGUAGUAGUUGGAGCUUCCAUUUGUUCUUGAGAUUCAAAGGCAGCAAGCUGCUUCCUCAGUGCUACUAAUUCUUCCCCGGCAUUGCAUAUGUAGGCUGAGGCUUGUCUACCAGACAAAGUUGCUCCUUCCAUACUAUCUAUGUAAUCCUGUGAGAGUGAAACCAUUUAGGAGACAUAUCUCUUUUUUUUCCCAAUAUUUGGGAUGAAACAAUGAUAUACAGUUACCUGUUUUGUAUACGAGCCAGCAAGGAAGAAGUUCUUCACAGGUGUCUUUUGAUCAGGUCUGAAGGGGUCUUUACCAGGUCCCUCACGGUACAAAGAUUGCCCGAUUUUGACAACAGAUGACCAAAUAACUUCUAAACCUUGGGAUGAUGGAAAUAGAGCUAAAACCUAAUAAAAUGAACCAUGAAUGGAUAAUUUGUACUGAUGUAUGUUAUCCAGAAAGUUGCAUGACCUUUUGUGGUACUCAGGUCACUAAAAAAAACGUGAGAUAAACAUCUAGGAUAAGAAAACCAAAAAUAGUAACCUAAUAUGUAUUAUAUGAAUUGAAGGUGUCACUGAACGCUACCAACCUGCUUUGCCACUCUCCUUAUGAUUUCAUCAUUUGGUAAGGGCAUGUAAGGAUCGCCAGGCGUCAAAACACAUCUGCAAGAUAAUAUGGUUAUAGUGAGAAACACAGAAUACAAAGACACUUGGCAAAAGGAAGUCAACCAGAUUCCAUGCACAAAAUGAAACUAAAAACGACAAGGAUUAGAAAUUUUUCUUACUGGAGUAAUGAACCUUGCCCUUCUCUGUAGUAGUCUUCUGGUGAAGUGAGUGCUAGAUCUGCAAAGCAAGAGAAAUCUGCAUCUGGAGUAUACAAAAGGUUAUCUAACCCCAGAGCUUGCCUCAAUUGCCUACAUGUUCAAAACAAGGAUCUGUUAAAAAAUGGAAAUUUCUUCAAUGCCUUAGUAAAGGGAAGUGAAGUGAAAGCAUUUUAAUUAUUUAUGUUAUUUUUGAAUAAUGGAUAAGGUAUCUUAUGGUGUUAAUAUAAGUAUGUAAUUACAUUUAACUUACUUAUUUAUUAGUAAUGUCAUAUUUAUAAAUUUUUUAAUUAAAUAAAUAUUUUUUUAAAGAUUGGCGAAUUUUUACGGAUUUACAAAAGUAAAUCCAUAUCCAAUCCACCGCUUGUGGAUUUUUAAAUUUUUAAUCCAAUUCAAUCCACCAAUCCACGGAUAAGAUUUUUACGAACCAAAUUUUUACGGAUCGGACGAAUUGAGCUGAUCGAACCGGAUUCUGAACACCCCUACUAUUGGGUUUCACUUUGUUUUACAUGAAUUUGGGAAAAAUACACGGAUAGACAAGGGAACAGUCAUUGUUAAGCUGUGAAGCUUGUGGAAGAUACCAUUGCCUAUUUGCAGCUUAAACUCCUGGAGCUUUGCUCAUGCUUUCUCUUUCCCACUUUCUCAUGGAACAGAUGUAUACAUCAUGAAAUGAAAACAACAGCACAAAUUGCUGUCUCGUAAGAGAAACAGUCAUACAUAGUAGGUUAGGCCUCAUGUCCAUUAACUUACUAAUGAAUUUUAUGAAAAUUGGCUAUCUCAUUGAAAUUACAUAGGUAUUGGAAACCCUUACUCCAGCUGCAUCAUCUCAUCAGUGAAAGCUGGAUUUUCCAUUUGUUCUUGAGAUUCAUAUUAAGGCAGCAAAUUGCUCAUCCCAUACUAUCUAUGUAAUCCUGUAAAAGGGAAGGGCGUUUAGAUGUGGAAAAACCUUACUCCUGCCGCUGCACCUCAAACAGAUUGCGAUCACACAAGACUUAGUUCAUCAUUAGUAGUAGUUGGAGCUUCCAUUUGUUCUUGAGAUUCAAAGGCAGCAAGCUGCUUCCUCAGUGCUACUAAU
rnacentral:lncRNA from 1 species